UGCUGUGUGGGUCCCGGGGAGGGGUGGGGGCACCUUGAGAUAGAUCCUUUACGGAAUACAGGAGAUAAAUGAUGAGCCGGCCACCUCACGUGUGAACAGUUUAGCUCCAUUUGCCUUAGGUGACAUGUUUCUGGAUUCUUGUGGUUUGGUUGGUGGUGGUGGUGGUGAUGGUUUUUUGUGUUUGUUUGGUUUUGGUUUUUUGUUUUGUUUUUGUUUAUGGGUUUGUUUUUGAGACAGGGCUUCUCUGUGUAGCCUUCGCUGCCUCCCCGAGUGCUGGGAUUUAAAGGCGUAUGCCACUGUGCCCAGUGGAUUCUUGUGAUUUUAACUCCCACCUUUCUUUGGGACCUUUCCUGCCUCCCUUUUAUUUCCCCAGCAGCUUCUGUGACCUCUGUUCUGUCUCAUCCUUUAAAAAGGCAAAGAGAAAGAAUCUCAGGUAUCACAGACUGGCCUUUCCUCCCUGGGUAGCAGAAGAUGGCCUUAAACUGGUUCCUGGAGUGCCACCUAGAUGACACUGCAACCCACCUGUCUCCUGGGAUCCCCCGACUCCACCCUGCAGCACCAGACUUCCAGACUUGCUAUUUAUAGGAGAGCUGGGCUAUGAAGCCGGGUUCUCAUGCCUGCAACAACAAAAUGCCUUUACCUGCUGAGGCCUCUUCCCAGCUCCACACUCUGGUCUGGAAUCUUUGCUUUCUUCUUCACUGGCCCCUUUACAUGCUCCCUGUGCCUAAAUCCUCUGUUUGUCCAUCUCCCUCCAGUUUUUUCUCUCCAGCUUUAGGAAAAACCUUGCCGGGAGUGGUGGUUCAUGCCUUUAAUUUCAGCACCCCGGAGGCAGGUGGAUCCCUCUGUUAACUUAACCAGCCUGGUCUAGACGGGCCUUGCUCACGCCAAGGAAAUGUUCUGCUGGUCAAGACUGGAAAGGCCAGGUGCUGUACAACACCUGUAACCCUGGCACCUGGUAGGCUUGGCGAGAGGAUCCUGAGUUCGAUGCCAGCCUGAACUACAGAGCAAAUUCCAGACUUUCCUGAAGUAAGUGGCAAGACUUUCUCUCAAGACAAACACAAGGGGCUGGAGAGAUGGCUCAGUGGCUAAGAGCACUUGCUGCUCUUGCAGAGGACCCAGGUUCAACUCCAGCCACCCACGUGGUAGCUCACAGCCAUCCCUAAAUCCAGUUCUAGGAGCUCCAACACCUUUUCACCUCUAGCUCUCCAAUUGGUGAAAUGCAUGUGGUACACAUACCUACAUGCAGGCAAAACAUUCACACACAUAAAAUAAUAAAAUUUGGAAAAAAAAAAAAGCAAAAAGACAUGGAUGGAGGAAGGUGUCUCAGUCAUUAAAGUACUCACUGAGCACAUGUGAAGACCUGAGCUUGCAUCCCCAGCACUGAGAGAAAAGCAAUCCCAGCACUGGGGAAUUGGAGGCAGGAGGAUUCCUGUCAGCUCGUCUAGAGAAGUUAGGGAAUUCCACUAACUCACUGAGAGACUGUGUCCAAAAAUAAGGCAGAGAGCAACUGAAGAGGACACCCAGUGUCAAUCUCUGGCCUCUACACACAUGCAACGCAAACACACCACACUCCACACAGAGCUGAGUGUAUUGACCUUCGCUUGUCAUUGCUGCACUCUGUGACACGGUGGGUGAGGCAGAAAGCUCACCCUUGGCACCCUUACUCUGGUAAGGGUAAGGCCCUGAGUGAGGCCCUGUCUCUAAACAAAGCAAAAGCCUGUGGGACAAUUUGUCUUAAAACUCGGAAGCUGGGGUGGCGGUGCACAUCUGAGGUCUCAGCACUGGAGAGCGAGGGGCAGGAGUUCAAGAUCAGCCUCUGCUACAGGACAUGCUGUGCCUUAGUGGCACGUGUGCCAUAAGGUGGUACACAAGACGCCACUGCUCUGCAUCUGUGUCGGCUCCUGCCCUGCCCGCAUCUUCCCUCUCAGGCUCCAGGCUCUUCGGGCAAACAGAAGCUUUCUGUAAGCUGGCCGAAGCUUCUCAUGACCAGCACCACAGAGAAACCAUCUUGUGGGAUGAGAAGCCACCUUCACUUAUCCAAAAACUUAGAAGAACCCUUAAGGUUUGUUCAAAGGGACACAAACAAAAUGGUCUUUGGCUUAAAUUUUUUUUUUCAUGCUGCAACUGUAUGAGCUUAUUCUGUUACUGUCAUUUUUGCCUACUCUCCCACACUGCUGCUGCUCCUGGUGGUUGUCUUAAAAGACAAAGUUUCAGACUGGAAAGAUGACCCAGAAGUUAAGAGCACUGGUUGCUCUUCCAGAGGGCCCAGCAACCACAUGGUGACUCAUAACCAUCUAUAAUGAGAUCUAGUGUUCUGACGUGCAGGUGUACAUGCAGGCAGAAG